rnacentral:rRNA from 1 species
ACUAAAUAGAUACCCGGGUAGUCCACGCCCUAAACGAUGAUUACUCGACAUACGCGAUACACAGUGUGUGUCUGAGCGAAAGCAUUAAGUAAUCCACCUGGGAAGUACGUCCGCAAGGAUGAAACUCAAAGGAAUUGACGGGGGUCGGCACAAGCGGUGGAGUAUGUGGUUUAAUUACGAUGAUACGCGAGGAACCGUUACCUGGGCGUAGAAUAGCUAUCUGACUGUACCUGAAAGGGUAUUUGUUAGCAAUACACAGAUAGUAAGGUGCUGCAUGGCUGUCGUCAGCUCGUGCCGUGAGGUGUUGGG